rnacentral:rRNA from 1 species
GUACACGCUGUGACUAGCAUAUCAAUAAGCGGAGGAAAAGAAACUAACAAGGAUUCCCCUAGUAACGGCGAGUGAAGCGGGAAGAGCUCAAAUUUGAAAUCUUAAAGGGUUUCCCUUUACGAAUUGUAGUUUAAAGAAGUGUUUUCUGUUGAGGUUUUGGUAAAGGUUCUUUGGAAUAGGACAUCAUAGAGGGUGAGAAUCCCGUAUUUGACCUUUACUUUCAACUUUGUGAUACACUUUCAAAGAGUCGGAUUGUUUGGGAAUGCAGUCCAAAAUGGGUGGUAAAUUUCAUCUAAAGCUAAAUAUUGGCGAGAGACCGAUAGCGAACAAGUACCGUGAGGGAAAGAUGAAAAGAACUUUGAAAAGAGAGUUAAACAGUACGUGAAAUUGUCAAAAGGGAAGCGUUUGACACCAGUGUUGUUUUUCUGAAAAUCAAUUAAAGAACUGUUUAUGCUAAGCUGUUUAGACUUUAUCAGCUAUCUGUUUAGUUUUGAGCUUUUCUUUAAUGCACUUUUCAGUUAACAAGUCAACAUCAAUUUCUUUUGCUGUAAAAAAGCUUGAGGAAGGUGGCUUGAGAUUCGUCUUAAGUGUUUAUAGCCUCUUGCCUAUGCAGUCGGAGAGAUUGAGGUCUGCAGCGUAGAUCCUUCGGGGCUAAAUGCAUUUGUGCUAAGUUAUAACAUUUUAUAGACAACUUGUUGACUAUGAUUUGUCUUGUAGCUUACUCGCUUAUGUUAUUUUACCUACGCUUAGGAUGUUGACGCGCGUGUGUGCGUG